rnacentral:lncRNA from 1 species
UAUAAGAUAAGAUAAGAUAAGAAUUUUAUUAAUCUAAUCAAGAACCCAUAAAGGGCAUCAUUUUACAACACAAUAUGAUUGGAAAAAGCAAAACAGAAAACUAAUACCAUACUAUAACGUUAUGGACAGGAUCAGAGCCUAACACAACAUGUGUUUUAUAUAACUAUUAUAUUAAAUCUCAUAACAAUAAAAUAUUGAAUUAUUUCAUAUAUUUUGUUUACAUCUGGAUCUUAUUUCUAAACCUUUAAUAAUGUAAUUUCCUAGGCACAUGAGAGUUGGUAAAUGCUCAUUUGUGAACAG